rnacentral:rRNA from 1 species
CUUUAAAGAGUGCGUAAUAGCUCACUAGUCGAGUGCUCUUGCGCGGAUAAUGUACCGGGGCUAAGCAUAUUACCGAAACUGUGGAUGCGUAAGCAUGGUAGGAUAGCGUAAUUAACGCGAUGAAGGAUGACCGUAAGGACAUGUUGGAGCGUUAACUAGUGAGAAUUCCGGUAUGAGUAGCGAAAGAUAGGUGAGAAUCCUAUCCACCGAAUGAGUAAGGUUUCCCCCGGAAGGCUCGUCCGCGGGGGGUUAGUCGGGACCUAAGGCGAGGCUGAAAAGCGUAGUCGAUGGACAACAGGUUGAUAUUCCUGUACCGAUAUUUAAUUGCCGAAGGAAGGACGCAGAAGGAUAACACAGGCCACUAUUGGAUGUGGUUUUAAACAGUUAGUCUUCAUAAGAGUCAAAUGCUUUUAUGUUUAAGGAUAAGCUGUGAAUGUACCAAGUUUACUUGGAAAUUGUGUGAUUUCACGCUGCUGAAAAAAGUUUCGUAGGAAGAAAAUAUUGCCCGUACCGCAAACCGACACAGGUACUCAAGUGGAGAACACUAAGGUGAGCGAGUGAACUAUUGUUAAGGAACUCUGCAAAAUGAGUCCGUAACUUCGGAAGAAGGACUGCUGGUUUUAUACCAGCCGCAGCAAAUAGGCCCAAACAACUGUUUAUCAAAAACACAGGUUUCUGCAAAAUCGUAAGAUGAAGUAUAGGGGCUGACGCCUGCCCAGUGCUGGAAGGUUAAAAGGAGGACUUAGCUUCGGCGAAGGUCUUAAUUGAAGCCCCAGUGAACGGCGGCCGUAACUAUAACGGUCCUAAGGUAGCGAAAUUCCUUGUCGGGUAAGUUCCGACCCGCAUGAAAGGCGUAAUGAUUUGGGCGCUGUCUCAACAAUAGACUCGGUGAAAUUUAAAUUCCAGUGAAGAUGCUGGGUACCCGCGACAGGACGGAAAGACCCCGUGGAGCUUUACUGUAGCUUGAUAUUGAAUGUUUGUGCUGCAUGUGCAGGAUAGGUAGGAGACUUUGAAGUCGGAACGCUAGUUUCGAUUGAGUCACCCUUGAGAUACUACCUCUGUUGUAUGAACGUUCUAACUCUGAUCAGUUAUCCUGAUCGAAGACAGUGUCUGGCAGGCAGUUUGACUGGGGCGGUCGCCUCCUAAAAGAUAACGGAGGCGCUCAAAGGUUUGCUCAGAAUGGUUGGAAAUCAUUCGUAGCGUGUAAAGGCAUAAGCAAGCUUGACUGUGAGACUGACAAGUCGAGCAGGUACGAAAGUAGGACUUAGUGAUCCGGUGGUUCCGUAUGGAAGGGCCAUCGCUCAACGGACAAAAGCUACCCCGGGGAUAACAGGCUCAUCUCCCCCAAGAGUCCACAUCGACGGGGAGGUUUGGCACCUCGAUGUCGGCUCAUCGCAUCCUGGGGCUGUAGUCGGUCCCAAGGGUUGGGCUGUUCGCCCAUUAAAGCGGUACGCGAGCUGGGUUCAGAACGUCGUGAGACAGUUCGGUCCCUAUCCGUCGUGGGCGCAGGAAAUUUGAGAGGAUCUGUCCUUAGUACGAGAG